AUUGAACGCUGGCGGCAGGCCUAACACAUGCAAGUCGAGCGAGCGGCGGACGGGUGAGGAAUGUCUGGGAAACUGGCUGAUGGGGGGGGAUAACUACUGGAAACGGUAGCUAAUACCGCAUACCAUCAGAUGUGCCCAGAUGGGAUUAGCUAGUAGGUGGGGUAACGGCCAACCUAGGCGACGAUCCCUAGCUGGUCUGAGAGGAUGACCAGCCACACUGGAACUGAGACACGGUCCAGACUCCUACGGGAGGCAGCAGUGGGGAAUAUUGCACAAUGGGCGCAAGCCUGAUGCAGCCAUGCCGCGUGUGUGAAGAAGGUCUUCGGGUUGUAAAGCACUUUCAGUGGGGAGGCGUUACCCGCAGAAGAAGCACCGGCUAACUCCGUGCCAGCAGCCGCGGUAAUAC
rnacentral:rRNA from 1 species